AGAGAAAGUUACAGUGGAUCAUGAUUUUGGAGGAGGUGAAGUCCAGUCUAAAAGAGUCCCCUCAAGUAUCAUCACCAUGGUACAGUGUCUGUGAAGAUAGUGAUGCAGACCCAGCAUUCACAAAAAAGAGGUAUGAUCAUUAAAGUUAAUUUGUGACUGACUUGUGUUAUUGUACAAGUCCAAAUGCACAAGCUCAUUUACAUAACAUGUAGGGUAAAACAGGACAGAAGCACAUUACUUCCAUGAUGA